rnacentral:misc_RNA from 1 species
ACGUGGCACAGAAAGAGAACGCCACAUUCGUCGUCACGGGAACAAGAGGGAUGGGCAAAUUCCGGCGGACAAUAAUGGGCAGCGUCAGUGACUUUGUAGUCCAUCACGCCCAUUGCCCAGUCUUAGUCUGUAGACACAAAGACAAAUAGACAUAUCAAUGUCUCUUACAUUGUCCGGAAGUGGAUCACUCAUCAAGUGCGCAGAGUACGAUAUGCACAGUCACGUGAUAGGAAGUUGCAUAAAGGAUAACAUUGGCUGUACAUGUACAUGUGUAGUUGUAUGUUUAUGUGUUUAAAUUGUGCAUCUAUCUAGUUUCACUUUCAAACUCAUCUGUUUUAUUGUUUUGCUUUUAAAGAGGGUCGUACAUAGAUCAGGUAUAACAAUCUACAAUUUCUUCCAUGGUUUUCUUUUAAUAAUGGAUAGUCAUAUUUCAAAUAUUAAAGUAUAAAUGCAUCGCAGUUCUGAAAAAGGAAAGAAAAGAAAACGUUUUUAUAUCUGUUCUGUUCCAUUCAUUUUGGGUCAUGAUGAGAGGGUUGGUUGUUGUGCUGAUUGGUGUUGUGAAAUAUUUUCAUGUCAGUCAGAUAACAAUUUGUUUUUGUAUUAAGUUUUAUUAUCUCCAUUAUUUGUAAUAUUUUUAUUUUUAAUACGUAAAACGACAAAAGCGAGAUAGGAAACAGUUGUUGGUUUCCUCUUUUUACAAAGUCAUGGAUGUCAUAAAUGUUAAACGACUCGGACUUCAAGAAGUUGUUAAGAGAUACUGUAUAUUGUUAUGUAAUUAGUUCGGUACAUAUAUGUGUAUGUUUAAACACUACUUAUGUUUAUUAUAUACUUUACCUUAUACGUGAAAUACUUAAAAUAAACGUUAAAAUAGAAAUU